UCUAAUCUGAAAUAGGUGUUCAUGUUAUAUUUUUCUUUGAUAAUUUUACAGGAGACUCUAUGUUAGACACUGGUUAUCCCAAUAACUUCGACCUGUCUGGGAUGUCCUUCACCACCCCAGACAGGGAUAACGACAGGUGGAGUUAUUAUAACUGUGCUGCUGCCAGUAACAUUAGAGGAGGCUGGUGGUUCAAUGACUGUCACCAGGCCUUCCUUAACGGUCAAUGGUCCCCGGGGUCCUGGUCCUACCCAUGGUAUCCCACAGUAAGGAGUGGGACGUCAGUGAAGGCGACUUCAAUGAUGAUCAGACGGAACUAGACGAAAGAUCAUCCAUGGAUUACGGAAAGCCCCAAGAGACGAUUUAAAAUUAAUUUUUAUCGCUGAGUUCUUUUUUUUAAUAUUUAACAUCAAGUAACAAACAGUAAAAGAAGGUGGUUGAACGGCUCUGUAAAGCGAUACUGGAUGUAUUCAGUAAAAGAUGUAUUUUAUAUGUGUUGUAAUAAAUUUGAAAA